UGCAGUCGAGCGGUACACAGAGAGCUUGCUCUCGGGUGACGAGCGGCGGACGGGUGAGUAAUGUCUGGGAAACUGCCUGAUGGAGGGGGAUAACUACUGGAAACGGUAGCUAAUACCGCAUAACGUCGCAAGACCAAAGUGGGGGACCUUCGGGCCUCAUGCCAUCAGAUGUGCCCAGAUGGGAUUAGCUAGUAGGUGGGGUAAUGGCUCACCUAGGCGACGAUCCCUAGCUGGUCUGAGAGGAUGACCAGCCACACUGGAACUGAGACACGGUCCAGACUCCUACGGGAGGCAGCAGUGGGGAAUAUUGCACAAUGGGCGCAAGCCUGAUGCAGCCAUGCCGCGUGUAUGAAGAAGGCCUUCGGGUUGUAAAGUACUUUCAGCGAGGAGGAAGGCGUUAAGGUUAAUAACCUUGGCGAUUGACGUUACUCGCAGAAGAAGCACCGGCUAACUCCGUGCCAGCAGCCGCGGUAAUACGGAGGGUGCAAGCGUUAAUCGGAAUUACUGGGCGUAAAGCGCACGCAGGCGGUCUGUCAAGUCGGAUGUGAAAUCCCCGGGCUCAACCUGGGAACUGCAUUCGAAACUGGCAGGCUAGAGUCUUGUAGAGGGGGGUAGAAUUCCAGGUGUAGCGGUGAAAUGCGUAGAGAUCUGGAGGAAUACCGGUGGCGAAGGCGGCCCCCUGGACAAAGACUGACGCUCAGGUGCGAAAGCGUGGGGAGCAAACAGGAUUAGAUACCCUGGUAGUCCACGCCGUAAACGAUGUCGACUUGGAGGUUGUGCCCUUGAGGCGUGGCUUCCGGAGCUAACGCGUUAAGUCGACCGCCUGGGGAGUACGGCCGCAAGGUUAAAACUCAAAUGAAUUGACGGGGGCCCGCACAAGCGGUGGAGCAUGUGGUUUAAUUCGAUGCAACGCGAAGAACCUUACCUACUCUUGACAUCCAGAGAACUUAGCAGAGAUGCUUUGGUGCCUUCGGGAACUCUGAGACAGGUGCUGCAUGGCUGUCGUCAGCUCGUGUUGUGAAAUGUUGGGUUAAGUCCCGCAACGAGCGCAACCCUUAUCCUUUGUUGCCAGCGGUUAGGCCGGGAACUCAAAGGAAACUGCCAGUGAUAAACUGGAGGAA
rnacentral:rRNA from 1 species